UACGAAGGGGGCUAGCGUUGUUCGGAUUUACUGGGCGUAAAGCGCACGUAGGCGGAUCGUUAAGUCGGGGGUGAAAUCCUGGAGCUCAACUCCAGAACUGCCUUCGAUACUGGCGAUCUUGAGUCCGGAAGAGGUGAGUGGAACUCCUAGUGUAGAGGUGGAAUUCGUAGAUAUUAGGAAGAACACCAGUGGCGAAGGCGGCUCACUUGACCACAACUGACGCUGAGGCGCGAAAGCUAGGGGAGCAAACAGG
rnacentral:rRNA from 1 species